rnacentral:misc_RNA from 1 species
GUUUGCAUCCUGCUUAAGUACUGACUUCAGUAAGGAAGACAUUAGAAACUCUCCGAGAAGUCUCCAGAGGUCAAAGUCUGCUCCUGUGUCUCCUUUGAUGUCAAGUGCCAGAUCAGGUUUCGAAGCUUCAAAUUCUGCUACGGCAGAUGUUACCCCAGAGAAAGCUAGUCCGACAAAAGUUAAAUCAUCAUUUAAAGGAAAAAUUUCUAGCUUAUUUUUCUCUAGGAAUAAGAAACUGACCAAAGAAAAACGCAAUACAUCUCAAUGCAAGGAGGAAUUGAAUACUUCUGUUGCGGAAACACUUGGU